AGAACGUUUGAGACAAUCAAAGAAAGAGAGAAAAAAAGAAGAACAGGUUUAAUAUACAUUAUGGAAGUCGUCAGAAAGUGUAGAUAAGAGAGAACGUUUGAGACAAUCAAAGAAAGAGAGAAAAAAAGAAGAACAGGUUUAAUAUACAUUAUGGAAGUCGUCAGAAAGUGUAGAUAAGAGAGAAAGUUUGAGACAAUCAAAGAAAGAGAAAAAAAGAAGAAGAACAGAAGUCCUCAGAAAAUGUAGAUGAGAGCGGGUGACAAGAGCUAACCACAUUCAACAUCUUGGUAGUGGGACCAGAUAUUACCAAAUUAAACAUCUAAGUAGGGUAAAUAAAG